GAAAUGCAUAGAGNNNGGGAGGAACACCAGUGGCGAAGGCGGCCUGCUGGGCUUUAACUGACGCUGAGGCACGAAAGUAUGGGUAGCAAACAGGAUUAGAUACCCUGGUAGUCCAUACCGUAAACGAUGAUUACUAGGUGUGGGGGGUCUGACCCCCUCCGUGCCGGAGUUAACACAAUAAGUAAUCCACCUGGGGAGUACGGCCGCAAGGUUGAAACUCAAAGGAAUUGACGGGGGCCCGCACAAGCAGUGGAGUAUGUGGUUUAAUUCGAAGCAACGCGAAGAACCUUACCAAGUCUUGACAUCGUGACGACCGGAACUUAACCGUUCCCUCCCUUCGGGGCGUCAUAGACAGGUGGUGCAUGGUUGUCGUCAGCUCGUGUCGUGAGAUGUUGGGUUAAGUCCCGCAACGAGCGCAACCCUUAUUCUUAGUAGCCAGCGGAUAAAGCCGGGCACUCUAAGGAGACUGCCAGGGAUAACCUGGAGGAAGGUGGGGAUGACGUCAAAUCAUCAUGCCCCUUAUGAUUUGGGCUACACACGUGCUACAAUGGCGUAAACAAAGGGAAGCGAGAGGGAGACCUUAAGCGAAUCUCAAAAAUAACGUCUCAGUUCGGAUUGUAGUCUGCAACUCGACUACAUGAAGCUGGAAUCGCUAGUAAUCGCGAAUCAGAAUGUCGCGGUGAAUACGUUCCCGGGUCUUGUACACACCGCCCGUCACACCAUGGGAGUCGGAAAUGCCCGAAGCCAGUGACCCAACCGAAAGGAGGGAGCUGUCGAAGGCAGGUCUGAUAACUGGGGUGAAGUCGUAACAAGGUAGCCGUA
rnacentral:rRNA from 1 species